rnacentral:rRNA from 1 species
UACGUAGGGUGCAAGCGUUAAUCGGAAUUACUGGGCGUAAAGCGUGCGUAGGCGGUUGUGCAAGUCAGAUGUGAAAUCCCCGGGCUCAACCUGGGAACUGCAUUUGUGACUGCACGGCUGGAGUGCGGCAGAGGGGGAUGGAAUUCCGCGUGUAGCAGUGAAAUGCGUAGAUAUGCGGAGGAACACCGAUGGCGAGGGCAAUCCCCUGGGCCUGCACUGACGCUCAUGCACGAAAGCGUGGGGAGCAAACAGG